rnacentral:snRNA from 1 species
AUACUCUGGUUUCUCUUCAGAUCGUAUACAUCUUUCACCUUUUACUAAAGAUUUCCAUGGAGAGGAACACUAAUUUUCUAGACAUAAGGAAGAAUUUUUUUACAAUGAGGGUGGUGAA